GAAGCACCCAGUGCCAUAUUUCCGUGACUUGGGUGUUGCCCCCACAGCUGAAGCCCAUCCCUCCUCCCAGCAUCCCCAGCUGCAGCCCACUCCUGCCUCCGCAGCAAUCACUCCCACACCAUGGCCAUGCAGAAGGAGGUGGUGGAGACACAGUGCUACCACACCAGGCUGUGUCUGUCCUCUCCUGCAGAUGCUUUCCUCACCUAGUAUGUCUCCAAAGAUUUUCUCUAUUAAAAUCCCUGGGGUCUGCAAAUAAAAGAUUCUUAAACUGUCUGAAAAUCAAAGCUCGUUGGAAAAGAGCUGAAUUUCAAAGGAAGUAACAUGAUGAGGGUUUUAACCUCAAAAAAAAAAAAAUUAUUUUAUUUCUAAAUAUGUUUAUGUGGCGCAGCUAGGGGUAAAGAGUAACAAGUAAUUAUAGAGUAAUCAUCUGUGGCUGACUAAUUGUUCUUCAGCAGUAACUCUCAGUAGUACUUAUUUUUAAAUACAAAUUACUUUUGUAAAUGUAUGUGUUAUACAUGUGCUCUAAGUCUCACUAGUUUCUAUUAAUUAAAUGUAACAUUGUAUAAAUUACUGCCUGUGUUUCCCUGAAUAAGAGAAAUUAAGUAUAUGGCACCUAUUUGAUAUAUAAAGGCGUCCAUGUCAUUUUUCUUACAGAUAUGUUCAAGGAAUAACCCAUAAUAUGGAGAAAACCAAACCCGAGAAAAGAAAACAAUGAAAUGGGCAAAGGUAUAAUAAUCAAUUCAUCACAUUUGAGUUUGCUGCAGAGAACUGAUGUCAGUUUUUGUGCAGAUACUUCAGGUCUGACUCCAGAUCACUUAGUAAACACUGCAUAUUUCAGGAAUUACCUCAGCAUAACACAUCUUACUUUUUGUUUGAAACUGGUAAGAGUGGAAGGAUUUGAUUUAUCUUACAGAGGCCAUUAA
rnacentral:lncRNA from 1 species